UACAUGUGGGGCAAGCGUUGUUCGGAAUUACUGGGCAUAAAGGGUGCGUAGGCGGCUUGUCAAGUCACUGGUGAAAGUUUUCGGCCCAACCGGAAAAUUGCCUGUGAUACUGAUGAGCUUGAGUGCGUGAGGGGUGGGGGGAACGAGCAGUGUAGCGGUGAAAUGCGUAGAUAUUGCUCGGAAGGCCGGAGCCGAAGGGGCCCCAGUGGUACGCAACUGACGCUGAGGCACGAAAGCGUGGGGAGCAAACAGG
rnacentral:rRNA from 1 species